rnacentral:rRNA from 1 species
GCAGAGGGUGUUUCGGGCGCGGCGCGGGUCUAAGUCCUUUGGAACAGGGCGUCAGAGAGGGUGAGAAUCCCGUAUGCGACCCGCGACCAACCCCCCAGGAAACCCCUUCGACGAGUCGAGUUGUUUGGGAAUGCAGCUCAAAAUGGGUGGUAAAUUUCAUCUAAAGCUAAAUACCGGCCAGAGACCGAUAGCGCACAAGUAGAGUGAUCGAAAGAUGAAAAGCACUUUGGAAAGAGAGUCAAACAGUACGUGAAAUUGUUGAAAGGGAAGCGCUUGCGACCAGACCUGUCCGGGGGCGAUCAACCUCCGUUCUCGGGGGUGCACUCGCCCGCGAUCAGGCCAGCAUCGGUUCGGGCGGUCGGAUACAGGCCGUGGGAAUGUAGCUUCCUCCGGGGAGUCUUAUAGCCCUCGGUGCAAUGCGGCCAGCCCGGACCGAGGACCGCGCUUCGGCUAGGAUGCUGGCGUAAUGGUCGUAAGCGACCCGUCUUGAAACACGGACCAAGGAGUCUAACAUCUAUGCGAGUGUUUGGGUGUCAAACCCAUACGCGGAAUGAAAGUGAACGGAGGUGAGAACCCUGAAGGGCGCAUCAUCGACCGAUCCAGAGGUCUUCGGAUGGAUUUGAGUACGAGCAUAGCUGUUGGGACCCGAAAGAUGGUGAACUAUGCCUGAAUAGGGUGAAGCCAGAGGAAACUCUGGUGGAGGCUCGCAGCGGUUCUGACGUGCAAAUCGAUCGUCAAAUUUGGGUAUAGGGGCGAAAGACUAAUCGAACCAUCUAGUAGCUGGUUCCUGCCGAAGUUUCCCUCAGGAUAGCAG